rnacentral:lncRNA from 1 species
CUUCGCAAAGGUAGGUGAGCUAUUGCCGGUGCUCUGAACAAGUUCCAAAUUCCUGCUUUAACUCCUGAGUUGAGCGUCAGGCCUGUCCAGCUGGUUUAUGAAAGAGUUGGGCCAAUUAAAGGUGGGAAUAAUUGUGGCCGUUAACGAAAGAAGGCUGCAGAUUGGCAUGCAUUUAUUACUUUCGGUGAAGGAUCAUCGAAAACCCCAGUGCAGGACUUUUUUUCAGGGGGGGGGGGGGGGGGGGGGGGGGGGGGGGGGGGGGGGGGGGGGGGGGGGGGGGGGGGGGGGGGGGGGGUGAUAUGUGUUAUUCUUCUGUGAUCAACAGAAAGUCUACUCCUACUGUCAGACAAGGCCAAGGCUUCGUAGGGCUGUGGACCGGGCUCUUCGCCACCACCCUUUGCAGCUCAAGUUUGCCCACCUGGCACACGCCCGCCGCUUGCUUGCCCUCUCCUUGUUGGUGCCAUCAUUACAGGCUGGCAUGGGGUGGCCUCAGGACCUUAAUGAUUGGUUGGUGCAGAAAGUAGUCUUGCAGGAACUGGGCCUCGACCCACAAAUAUUUGAUCUGGAGAUGGUUGCUCGGGAAGCUCGCAAAACUGCAACAUUGCAACUAUUGCGAGCAGCAGAUACUCCACAUCGGGCCAUGGACACUGCAGCCCCUUCUCCAUUCCUUCAGGCCUUUGGUCUCGCACUACGCGAUCGGCUUUUGCAGCUUCCUCGGGGGGGGGGGGGGGGGGGGGGGGGGGGGGGGGGGGGGGGGGGGGGGGGGGGGGGGGGGGGGGGGGGGGGGGGGGGGGGGGGGGGGGGGGGGGGGGGGGGGGGGGGGGGGGGGGGGGGGGGGGGGGGGGGGGGGGGGGGGGGGGGGGGGACAGCCAUGGACCCUUCAUUUGACCCAGUGACUUCAAGCCUCAUUGCGACUAUUCCGCCCAAUCUGUGGGAUUCCUUGUUCUGGCAGCUGCCACCAGUUGUUCUCUCACAAGCCACUAAAAUCUACCCAAAGCUACGUGCAGCUUAUCGAGCAGAGCUCAUUCGUA